AGUUAAGUUAGAAAGGGCGCACGGUGGAUGCCUUGGCACUAGGAGCCGAUGAAGGACGGGAUUAACACCGAUAUGUUUUGGGGAGCUGUAAGUAAGCUUUGAUCCAGAGAUUUCCGAAUGGGGAAACCCUCUAUCCGUAAUGGGAUAGAAUCUUUACCUGAAUACAUAGGGUACUGAAGGCAGACCCGGGGAACUGAAACAUCUAAGUACCCGGAGGAAGAGAAAGCAAACGCGAUUCCCUGAGUAGCGGCGAGCGAAACGGGAUUAGCCCAAACCAAGAGGCUUGCCUCUUGGGGUUGUAGGACACUCUAUAUGGAGUUACAAAGGAACGGGGUAGACGAAUCGAUCUGGAAAGGUCAGUCGUAGAAGGUAAAAACCCUGUAGUCGAAACUUCGUUCCCUCUUGAGUGUAUCCUGAGUACGGCGGGACACGAGAAAUCCCGUCGGAAGCAGGGAGGACCAUCUCCCAAGGCUAAAUACUCCCUAGUGACCGAUAGUGAACCAGUACCGUGAGGG
rnacentral:ncRNA from 2 species